UACGAAGGGGGCUAGCGUUGCUCGGAAUUACUGGGCGUAAAGGGCGCGUAGGCGGACAGCUUAGUCAGAGGUGAAAGCCCAGGGCUCAACCUUGGAAAUGCCUUUGAUACUGGCUGUCUUGAGUUCGGGAGAGGUGAGUGGAAUGCCGAGUGUAGAGGUGAAAUUCGUAGAUAUUCGGCGGAACACCAGUGGCGAAGGCGGCUCGCUGGGCCGGUCCUGACACUGAGGCGCGAAGGCGUGGGGAGCGAACGGG
rnacentral:rRNA from 1 species